rnacentral:rRNA from 1 species
GUGCCAGCCGCCGCGGUAAUACAGGGGGGGCAAGCGUUGUUCGGAAUUACUGGGCGUAAAGGGUUCGUAGGUGGCCAACUAAGUCAGACGUGAAAUCCCUCAGCUUAACUGGGGAACUGCGUCUGAUACUGGAUGGCUUGAGUGUAGGAGAGGAAUGCGGAAUUCCAGGUGUAGCGGUGAAAUGCGUAGAUAUCUGGAGGAACACCGGUGGCGAAGGCGGCAUUCUGGACUACAACUGACACUGAGGAACGAAAGCCAGGGGAGCAAACGGGAUUAGAAACCCUUGUAGUCC